rnacentral:lncRNA from 1 species
AGGGAUGAGUCUAUCUUUACCCGGAAUAGAUUUUCGUUUGAGUUGACUCAAAAGAAAAUUUAUUUACGGACUUGAACCAACAAGACACAAUGAAUUCACAAAAGAGAAAAACACACAACAAACGCUUAACACGAAUGAACGAACACAAAGACUAACUAACAAUCUAGUAGAUGAGUACUAGUUUGCCAAUUAGUAGUGGAACCAAAAAAAUUGAAACUAAG